UACGGAGGGUGCAAGCGUUAUCCGGAUUCACUGGGUUUAAAGGGUGCGUAGGCGGUCAGGUAAGUCCGUGGUGAAAUCUCUGAGCUUAACUCAGAAACUGCCAUGGAUACUAUUUGUCUUGAAUAUUGUGGAGGUAAGCGGAAUAUGUCAUGUAGCGGUGAAAUGCUUAGAUAUGACAUAGAACACCAAUUGCGAAGGCAGCUGACUACAGGGGCAUUGACACUGAGGCACGAAAGCGUGGGGAUCAAACAGG
rnacentral:rRNA from 1 species